CAGCAGCCGCGGUAAUACGGAGGGUGCAAGCGUUAUCCGGAUUUACUGGGUUUAAAGGGUGUGUAGGCGGACUUUUAAGUCUGGGGUGAAAUCUCCGAGCUCAACUCGGAAACUGCCUUGGAUACUAUUAGUCUUGAAUUAUGUUGAGGUUGGCGGAAUAUAACAUGUAGCGGUGAAAUGCAUAGAUAUGUUAUAGAACACCGAUUGCGAAGGCAGCUAACUAAGCAUAUAUUGACGCUGAGGCACGAAAGCGUGGGGAUCAAACAGGAUUAGAUACCCCAGUAGUCCCUGUCUCUUAUAA
rnacentral:rRNA from 1 species